UGGGGAAUCUUAGACAAUGGGCGGAAGCCUGAUCUAGCGAUGCCGCGUGAGUGAUGAAGGUCUUAGGAUCGUAAAGCUCUUUCGCCAGGGAUGAUAAUGACAGUACCUGGUAAAGAAACCCCGGCUAACUCCGUGCCAGCAGCCGCGGUAAUACGGAGGGGGUUAGCGUUGUUCGGAAUUACUGGGCGUAAAGCGCGCGUAGGCGGGCUGAUAAGUCGAGGGUGAAAUCCCAGGGCUUAACCUUGGAACUGCCUUCGAUACUGUUAGUCUAGAGUUCGAGAGAGGUGAGUGGAAUUCCGAGUGUAGAGGUGAAAUUCGUAGAUAUUCGGAGGAACACCAGUGGCGAAGGCGGCUCACUGGCUCGAUACUGACGCUGAGGUGCGAAAGCGUGGGGAGCAAACA
rnacentral:rRNA from 1 species